rnacentral:rRNA from 1 species
UACGAAGGGAGCUAGCGUUGUUCGGAAUUACUGGGCGUAAAGCGCAUGCAGGCGGAUCGUUAAGUCGGGGGUGAAAUCCCGAGGCUCAACCUCGGAACUGCCUUCGAUACUGGCGAUCUUGAGUCCGGGAGAGGUGAGUGGAACUGCGAGUGUAGAGGUGAAAUUCGUAGAUAUUCGCAAGAACACCAGUGGCGAAGGCGGCUCACUGGCCCGAUACUGACGCUGAGGUGCGAAAGCGUGGGGAGCAAACAGG